rnacentral:rRNA from 1 species
GUAUUAAAGGCAACGCCUGCCCAGUGAAAAUUAAACGGCCGCGGUAUCCUAACCGUGCAAAGGUAGCAUAAUCAUUUGUCUAUUAAUUGUAGACCUGUAUGAAAGGCAAAAUGAGAGCCCAACUGUCUCUUAUAACAAAUCAAUUAAACUGAUCUCCUAGUACAAAAGCUAGAAUACUAACAUAAGACCAGAAGACCCUGUGAAGCUUUAACUAACCUAUUAAACCCAAUAAUAACUACUUUCGGUUGGGGCGACCUUGGAAUAAAAAAGAACUUCCAUAUGACCCUCAUAAAAAAGGCCAACAAGCCAACACUAGACCCAGUAUAACUGAUAAUUGAAAUAAGUUACUCCAGGGAUAACAGCGCUAUCUUCUUUAAGAGCCCAUAUCAAAAAGAAGGUUUACGACCUCGAUGUUGGAUCAGGACAUCCCAGUAAUGCAACCGUUACUAAAGGUUCGUUUGUUCAACGAUUAACAGUCCUACGUGAUCUAG